CAGUAGCCGCGGUAAAACAGAGGGUGCGAGCGUUAAUCGGAUUUACUGGGCGUAAAGCGUGCGUAGGCGGCUUCUUAAGUCGGAUGUGAAAUCCCUGAGCUUAACUUAGGAAUUGCAUUCGAUACUGGGAAGCUAGAGUAUGGGAGAGGAUGGUAGAAUUCCAGGUGUAGCGGUGAAAUGCGUAGAGAUCUGGAGGAAUACCGAUGGCGAAGGCAGCCAUCUGGCCUAAUACUGACGCUGAGGUACGAAAGCAUGGGGAGCAAACAGGAUUAGAGACCCCCGUAGUCCCUGUCUCUUAUAA
rnacentral:rRNA from 1 species